CUGACAACAGUAUGGCUGAGGUAUUAACAUACAUAUUGUGAAGAUUGGAUUUAGCUGUCUCCUGAUUGUAACAAUGAAGGUGUUAACUAACCACAAAAUGUAUGAUCUAACCACAAAAGAUAUGAACACCCAUUUCAUACAUUGAGUGGGCAGUCCUGGAGAGGAGCAUCUGCUGUGAUUGGUAGACAUGAAAUUUAGGGAAGGUAACACAAGAGAAAAAGGUCUUUAAAUAGAGGAAACAAAGACUGAAGAGGAUCAGUUGCCCAGUCUUGGAGUGAAGAACAGUCACUGGGAGCUGGAGGGAAGACAGACACUCAAACCAGGAGUGAAGACACUUGGCUUGGAACUGGACCUCUGGAGGAACUCAUACAGGAGACCUCAGACUGCUUUCUUUUUAGAUGGUCACCAUGGUCUAGCACUCGAUCUACUGUGUCAUCUAGCUACCUACUGAAGAUUAGGAAACUGCUGAAAUCAUCUAUGAAGUAGAUGUAAGGAAAUGCCCAACAUAUACAAGGGGAAGGACCACUUUGAGGAGGUGCUAUCCCCUUUUCUGAUAGGAGCACAGAGGUAGUUUCUGAAGGAGGGAAUCACAGGCAUUGGUGAAUACUGCAAGCAUGAAGUUGGCUUGUUGUUUAGCUUUGAACUCACAAGAAAGGUUUUAUUAGGCAUUAGUCAAACAAGGUAUGAGCCUGGGAGUACACAGAUUCCUGUUGACGAG
rnacentral:lncRNA from 1 species